GUGGUAAUGCCGGAUGCUCCAUCACACCGCAUGGUGUGUUGGGAAAGCCUUUGCGGCAUGGGAUGGGGUCGCGUCCUAUCAGCUUGAUGGCGGGGUAACGGCCCACCAUGGCUUCGACGGGUAGCCGGCCUGAGAGGGCGACCGGCCACAUUGGGACUGAGAUACGGCCCAGACUCCUACGGGAGGCAGCAGUGGGGAAUAUUGCACAAUGGGCGCAAGCCUGAUGCAGCGACGCCGCGUGAGGGAUGGAGGCCUUCGGGUUGUAAACCUCUUUUGUUAGGGAGCAAGGCACUUUGUGUUGAGUGUACCUUUCGAAUAAGCACCGGCUAACUACGUGCCAGCAGCCGCGGUAAUACGUAGGGUGCAAGCGUUAUCCGGAAUUAUUGGGCGUAAAGGGCUCGUAGGCGGUUCGUCGCGUCCGGUGUGAAAGUCCAUCGCUUAACGGUGGAUCCGCGCCGGGUACGGGCGGGCUUGAGUGCGGUAGGGGAGACUGGAAUUCCCGGUGUAACGGUGGAAUGUGUAGAUAUCGGGAAGA
rnacentral:rRNA from 1 species